AAAGAAUGCUUGUAUCUAUUCACCAGCAACUUUUUCAUUUUACCAGGUCAGAGUCCAGCCUGAGAUGAACUCUGACUGUCAUUUUGGACACUGUCAGUGGCACUGCCAAGUUGGAGGCUUGGGAGUCGAAGCCUAACAUCUGUAAUGUGAUUCUUCAUCAACAGAAGCAGGAAACAGAUGAAAGGAAACCAUACGGACAUUAUUCCAUAAGGAUUUGGCACAUCCUGACUGACUUUUAUUGUAUGAAGAAAAAUGCUAAGAAGAGACUGAGGGUGACCUCUAAAAUCUAACAAGAACAAUGGCACUGGUUACUUUUGAGCACCAUCAAAGAAACCCAGCCUGUGCAAAUCUCAGUGAUAGCUCAGAGAAAUACAUUCCAGAAUUCUGACCCCCAAACUACAGCACACCCAUGUUAUUCUAAGUUACCAAGCUGCUGAUUUGUUAGAUUAGACUGAACUAAAGUGAGCUUCUUCCUUCCCAACAUGAUACACAAUUUGAAAAUGA